UUUAAUAUGACAGAAAAUUGUAAUGAAUUUAAAAUUCAUUUAUAAACAUAAAUAAUUGUUUUAUUAAAA
rnacentral:tRNA from 1 species